ensembl:lncRNA
CUAAAACGGUGGUUAGGCUUUCUCUUUCUUACCCAGAAUCUUAGCUGGAAAGAAGACUGCAGUCCUGUAGCAGUUGGCAGCCAAGGAUCUCAAAGAACUUUAUGCAUCGCUUAUCCUUGUUUUGCAAAAGACCAGUUACCUAAAGCUUCGGCACCGGGUGGGGGAUAGAUGUUUAGGUAUAUUUACACCAUUAGUCGGUUACAGGGAAACAAAAGCCUCAAAACCUGUGGGUUAGCGGUUUCCUCCUCCAUCUAAAGCCCCUUCUCGUCGUAGUCUCUCAGCAACGAAAAUUCUUUAAUUUGUCCAGCUCUACAAGGCCAAAGAGACAGGUCGCUAGCGUACGAGGAUCUAUGAAGGCCUGCAGUUGGCAGAAUGAGUCUGUGCAGAUGAUUUAGACGAAUGAUUUCACUGUGAAGUCCGUUAAGUUCUUCAAUAACCCAGAGAAGAAGGCCAAGAGAGGCCAGCCUCGUACAGUUGUACCUUCUAAAAAAGAUUGCUGAAAGGAGAUUUUAGAAGAAUCUCUUCAUUGAUCCGUGGUCAUGUACAUGUAUGUGACCAAAUGAUGCCCCUUUCCUCCAAAAUUUUAUAAAACUAAUUGUCU